AGCAACCGCGGUAAUUCCAGCUCCAAUAGCGUAUAUUAAAGUUGUUGCAGUUAAAAAGCUUGUAGUUGAAUUUCGGGGUCAGUAGGUUGGUCGUGCCACUGGUAUGUACUGGCCUUACUGAUUCCUCCUUCUUGAAGAACUGUAAUGUCAUUCACUUGGUGUUGCAGGGAAACAGGACUGUUACUUUGAAAAAAUUAGAGUGUUUAAAGCAGGCUAACGCUUGAAUACAUUAGCAUGGAAUAAUGAAAUAGGACGUUUAAUCCUAUUUUGUUGGUUUCUAGGAUUGACGUAAUGAUUAAUAGGGAUAGUUGGGGGCAUUAGUAUUUAAUUGUCAGAGGUGAAAUUCUUGGAUUUAUUGAAGACUGACUACUGCGAAAGCAUUUGCCAAGGAUGUUUUCAUUAAUCAAGAACGAAAGUUAGGGGAUCGAAGACGAUCAGAUACCGUCGUAGUCUUAACCAUAAACUAUGCCGACUAGGGAUCGGAUGAUGUUAAUUUUUAAUGACUCAUUCGGCGCCUUAC
rnacentral:rRNA from 1 species